rfam:Chlamydotis undulata macqueenii contig56106, whole genome shotgun sequence.
GUCAGGAUGGCCAAGUGGUCUAAGGCACCAGACUCAUGGCUUUGCUUUCCCUGCCUGGGGAUUUCUGGUCUCCAAAUGGAGGCAUGGGUUCAAAUCCCACUUCUGACA